GGUCAAGAAGAGAAGCGCAAACGGUGGAUGCCUUGGCAGUAAGAGGCGAAGAAGGACGUGGAAUCCUGCGAAAAGCUAUGGGGAGCUGGAAACGAGCGUUGAGCCAUAGAUGUCCGAAUGGGGGAACCCGGCUGCAGCGAUGCGGUCAUUUGCAUUUGAAUACAUAGGAUGCAAAGGCGAACUCGGGGAACUGAAACAUCUAAGUACCCGAAGGAAAAGAAAUCAAGAGAGAUUCUCCAAGUAGCGGCGAGCGAACGGGGAGGAGCCUGGCGUGAUUUAUUAUUGAACUGAGUAGAACAAUUUGGGAAAGUUGGCGAUAGAGGGUGAAAGCCCCGUAUACGAAGGUUUGAUGAGGAACUAGGCACGCGAACAAGUAGGCCGGGACACGUGAAAUCCUGGUUGAAGAUGGGUGGACCAUCAUCCAAGGCUAAAUACUACUUACUGACCGAUAGUGAACCAGUACCGUGAGGGAAAGGUGAAAAGAACCCCGGAGAGGGGAGUGAAAUAGAAUCUGAAACCGUUUGCGUACAAGCAGUGGGAGCAUGGUUUAGGCUGUGUGACUGCGUACCUUUUGUAUAAUGGGUCAGCGAGUUACUUUCAGUGGCGAGGUUAACUG
rnacentral:rRNA from 1 species